rnacentral:rRNA from 1 species
AUGCCACCAGAUAGAGACAUAGAGUUUUUGAUUGAACUUUUGCCAGGCACAGGGCCGAUAUCUAAGAGACCAUACAGGAUGCCCGCUAAGGAUUUGGAAGAAAUUAAGAAGCAGAUUAAGGAGUUACUGGAUAAAGGCUAUAUUCGCCCAAGUUCGUCACCUUGGGGAUCACCCGUACUUCUAGUGGAGAAGAAGGAUGGAUCGUUAAGGAUGGUUGUUGAUUACCGUGGAUUGAAUGAAGUGACCAUCAAAAAUAAGUACCCACUGCCGAUGAUCAAUGAAUUGUUUAACCGAUUACAAGGAGCUAAGGUAUUUUCCAAGAUCGAUGUACGAUCAGGAUACCAUCAGUUGAAGAUUCGAGAGCAGGAUAUACCUAAGACGGCUUUUACCACCGGGUAUGGGCUGUACGAGUAUACCGUUAUGUCAUUUGGUCUGACUAACGCACCUGCCUAUUUCAUGAACCUGAUGAACAAAGUGUUUAUGGAGUUUUUGGAUAAGUUCGUCGUAGUGUUCAUUGAUGACAUUUUGGUCUACUCAAAGAAUGAAGAGGAGCAUAAGGAGCAUUUGCGUUUGGUACUUGAGAAGCUCAGAGAACAUCAGCUAUACGCCAAGUUCAGCAAAUGUGAGUUUUGGCUGAAGGAAGUUGGAUUCCUCGGACACGUUAUAUCCGGAGAAGGAAUAGCAGUAGACCCCACCAAAGUUGACACAGUAACAAGCUGGGAAUCACCCACGUCAGUUGGAGAAAUCCGGAGUUUUCUUGGACUUGCAGGAUACUACCGGAAGUUCAUUGAGAAUUUCUCGAGGAUUGCUAAGCCCAUGACAGAGCUGUUAAAGAAGGACACCAAAUUCAAUUGGACUGAGGAAUGUGAAGCUAGUUUCCAAGAGUUGAAGAAACGUUUGGUUACAUCACCAGUGCUGGUUCUGCCAGAUCAACGCAAGGAUUAUGAAGUAUAUUGCGACGCUUCACGUCGAGGACUUGGAGCAGUGCUAAUGCAGGAGGGAAGAGUUGUUUCAUAUGCUUCACGACAACUU